GUUAAUGUAGCAAAAAAAAGUGCAUUUGUUUUAAGCGCAAAAGAUAAAAAUUAACU
rnacentral:tRNA from 1 species